rnacentral:misc_RNA from 1 species
UCGUAACAAGGUUUCCGUAGGUGAACCUGCGGAAGGAUCAUUACCUAGAGUUGUAGGCUUUGCCUGCUAUCUCUUACCCAUGUCUUUUGAGUACCUUCGUUUCCUCGGCGGGUCCGCCCGCCGAUUGGACAAUUUAAACCAUUUGCAGUUGCAAUCAGCGUCUGAAAAAACUUAAUAGUUACAACUUUCAACAACGGAUCUCUUGGUUCUGGCAUCGAUGAAGAACGCAGCGAAAUGCGAUAAGUAGUGUGAAUUGCAGAAUUCAGUGAAUCAUCGAAUCUUUGAACGCACAUUGCGCCCCUUGGUAUUCCAUGGGGCAUGCCUGUUCGAGCGUCAUUUGUACCUUCAAGCUCUGCUUGGUGUUGGGUGUUUGUCUCGCCUCUGCGCGUAGACUCGCCUCGAAACAAUUGGCAGCCGGCGUAUUGAUUUCGGAGCGCAGUACAUCUCGCGCUCUGCACUCAUAACGACGACGUCCAAAAGUACAUUUUUACACUCUUGACCUCGGAUCAGGUAGGGAUACCCGCUGAACUUAAGCAUAUCAAUAA